GAUGAACGCUGGCGGCGUGCCUAAUACAUGCAAGUCGAGCGAACGGACGAUAAGCUUUCUUUUCUGAUGUUAGCGGCGGACGGGUGAGUAACACGUGGAUAACCUACCUAUAAGACUGGGAUAACUUCGGGAAACCGGAGCUACUACUGGCUAAUAUUUUGAACCGCAUGGUUCAAAAGUGAAUGACGGUCUUGCUGUCACUUAUAGAUGGAUCCGCGCUGCAUUAGCUAGUUGGUAAGGUAACGGCUUACCAAGGCAACGAUGCAUAGCCGACCUGAGAGGGUGAUCGGCCACACUGGAACUGAGACACGGUCCAGACUCCUACGGGAGGCAGCAGUAGGGAAUCUUCCGCAAUGGGCGAAAGCCUGACGCAGCAACGCCGCGUGAGUGAUGAAGGUCUUCGGAUCGUAAAGCUCUGUUAUUAGGGAAGAAAAUAUGUGUAAGUAACUGUGGACAUCUUGACGGUACCUAAUCAGAAAGCCACGGCUAACUACGUG
rnacentral:rRNA from 1 species